CAGCUCUGAUCUGCUUCAUUCACAUUCACUGUGCUGUUCAGUAAGUCAGUGCUGGUGAUGAACAUCAUGAUUCUUGUCUGGACUCUCAGCUCUCUCAUCCUCAGCUAUGCUCUUGGGUUUCCCUUUCUUAAUAGCACAAGCCAUGGAUCUUACAUGUUUCCCAAUGUCACAGACAGGAACAUCACAGGGUAUAAUAAUAAUACCAAUCAGACCAGUCACCGAUUCCAGUCAGAACAGUUUCCCGCG